rnacentral:rRNA from 1 species
GAUGAACGCUGGCGGCGUGCUUAACACAUGCAAGUCGAACGGAAAGGCUCCUGCUUGCAGGGGUACUCGAGUGGCGAACGGGUGAGUAACACGUGGGUGAUCUGCCCUGCACUUCGGGAUAAGCCUGGGAAACUGGGUCUAAUACCGGAUAGGACGAUGGUUUGGAUGCCAUUGUGGAAAGUUUUUUCGGUGUGGGAUGAGCUCGCGGCCUAUCAGCUUGUUGGUGGGGUAAUGGCCUACCAAGGCGUCGACGGGUAGCCGGCCUGAGAGGGUGUACGGCCACAUUGGGACUGAGAUACGGCCCAGACUCCUACGGGAGGCAGCAGUGGGGAAUAUUGCACAAUGGGCGCAAGCCUGAUGCAGCGACGCCGCGUGGGGGAUGACGGCCUUCGGGUUGUAAACUCCUUUCGCUAGGGACGAAGCGCAAGUGACGGUACCUGGCGAAGAAGCACCGGCUAACUACGUG